GACGAACGCUGGCGGCGUGCUUAACACAUGCCAGUCGAACGGUGAAGCCCUUCGGGGUGGAUCAGUGGCGAACGGGUGAGUAACACGUGAGCAACCUGCCCCUGGCUCUGGGACAACCACUGGAAACGGUGGCUAAUACCGGAUACGACCCGCCUCGGCAUCGAGUGUGGGUGGAAAGUUUUUCGGCUGGGGAUGGGCUCGCGGCCUAUCAGCUUGUUGGUGAGGUGAAGGCUCACCAAGGCGACGACGGGUAGCCGGCCUGAGAGGGCGACCGGCCACACUGGGACUGAGACACGGCCCAGACUCCUACGGGAGGCAGCAGUGGGGAAUAUUGCACAAUGGGCGAAAGCCUGAUGCAGUGACGCCGCGUGAGGGAUGACGGCCUUCGGGUUGUAAACCUCUUUCAGCUCCGAAGAAGCGAAAGUGACGGUAGGAGCAGAAGAAGCACCGGCUAACUACGUG
rnacentral:rRNA from 1 species